rnacentral:rRNA from 1 species
UACAGAGGUCUCAAGCGUUGUUCGGAUUCAUUGGGCGUAAAGGGUGCGUAGGCGGCGCGGCAAGUUGGGAGUGAAAUCUCUGGGCUUAACCCAGAGGCUGCUUCCAAAACUGCUGUGCUUGAGUGUGGGAGAGGCGCGUGGAAUUGCAGGUGUAGCGGUGAAAUGCGUAGAUAUCUGCAGGAACACCCGUGGCGAAAGCGGCGCGCUGGACCACUACUGACGCUGAGGAACGAAAGCUAGGGGAGCAAACAGG